AUUUCUUCGGAAUGAAGUUUUAGUGACUGAGUGGCGGACGGGUGAGUAACGCGUGGGUAACCUGCCUCAUACAGGGGGAUAACAGUUGGAAACGACUGCUAAUACCGCAUAAGCCCACGGCUCGGCAUCGAGCAGAGGGAAAAGGAGUGAUCCGCUUUGAGAUGGCCUCGCGUCCGAUUAGCUAGUUGGUGAGGUAACGGCCCACCAAGGCGACGAUCAGUAGCCGGCCUGAGAGGGUGAACGGCCACAUUGGGACUGAGACACGGCCCAAACUCC
rnacentral:rRNA from 1 species